GUUAACUUUCAGUGCUCGGUCGUUGUGCAACACCUGUCAGACGUCUGAUCAACAUUCCCACAUCAAGAUAUGUGUCCUAAAGCAAUGCUACUGACAACCGUUCUUAUCCUAUGUUUUGGUUCAGCACAAGCGGACGAACUGGGUGAUGGAUCAAAAGCUGCUAUUGGCGUAGUGACUCCCUGCGUCGGGGCGGCUCUGAUCUACAUGAUUUAUAGGAUUUAUAAGUAUGGACCAAAGAAAGGACUUAUCUGCUGCAGGGAGGGUAAGUAAUACUAUUUUUCAUCUU